rnacentral:sRNA from 1 species
GCCGGGCGCGGUGAUGCAUGCCUGUAAUCUCAGCGGCUCAGGAGGCUGAGGCAGGAGGAUCACAAGUUCAAGUCCAGCCUCAGCAACGGGUGAGACGCUAAGCAGCUCAGCGAGACCCUGUCUCUA